rnacentral:rRNA from 1 species
GGCUAACACCUUUAUAGGUAUGGAAAAAUCCGUUUAUAAAAGGUAUUUUUUAAGAGAUUUUUAUUGAAAAACUGAACUGAAAAGGGUUAAUUUUUCUUGUAAAUAGACGUUUUUAAUUAGUGUACUUUUUGUAUAAUGGCUUAUAGAGUUUGAAAAUAAAUUUUUAUUCCCGAAAACUUUAGAGCUAUUUUUUUUUACUAUAUUGUUGCAAUAAUAUGAAAAAUUUUAAAUAGGUGUGAUAUGUGUUACGAAAAAGUUGAUAUCUGGUUUAAUAGGAAAUGCAUUCAGUGCAGCAGCGAUGGAAAAUUAGGCCGAGACAACAGUCCGAUUUAAUCGCAAGUGAAAUAAUAGGGGGUAAGCUCUAUUAUAAAUGACGAAUUGAAUUUAAAAAGUAGAAAUAAUAUUUUUAAUCUUUAAAAAUUUUUCACAAAUUUUUUUUUUUUUUUUUUUUAAUAAUUACUAUUAUUUUGGAAAUAACUAUUUUCUAAAGAGUAGUAUAAGAUUAGUAUGAGGAUACUAGUUUUCCGCAUUAAAUUCGGGUAUCGGAAAUUGAAUAAAAUGUAUUGUAAGCUAAGAUAUAUUAUUGAGGAACUCGGCAAAUCUUCCCCCCGCCUGUUUAACAAAAACAUGUCUCUUCGAUGUAAAAAUAUGGGGAGUCGGCCCUGCCCGGUGGUGUCGUGCUUAACGGUCGCAAUGAAUAGUUGUGCUAAGGUAGCGCAGUCAAUUGUCCUUUAAUUGGGGAAAGGAAUGAAAGGGUUGACGAGGGGGAGGCUGUCUUUGUAAUAUAAUUUGAAAUUUUCUUUUACGUGAAAAGACUUAAAUUUUAAAAUAAGAAGAGAAGACCCCGGCGAGCUUGUUAAGGGUUGUUAAAUGAAAAUGACCAUUGAGGUUUGUUGGGGCAACGCAAAGGGAAGAAAACUCCUUUGAACGUGAUAAGGAUCCACUAAGAGUGAAUAAAGCAAAAGCUACCGCGGGGAUAACAGCGCAAUUUUCUUAGAGAGUUCAUAUCGAAGAGAAAGUUUGCGACCUCGAUGUUGGAUUAAGAUUUCCUUUUGGUGCAGGAGUUAAAAAGGUGGGACUGUUCGUCCUUUAAAAUUUUACAUGAUCUGAGUUCAGACCGGCGUGAGCUAGGUCGGUUUCUAUCUAUUAUAUAUUGUUUGUCGUACGUAAGGAUCCGAAUAAUGAAAAAGUUUUUAUUCAGUUAUAAAAUAAUUGAAUGAUUGGAUUUAGACCUAUGUUUGCCUUGCUUGUAUAUUUAGUUAUGGGGUUUAUUUUAGUUUUAAUUAUUAAUUACCU